rnacentral:rRNA from 1 species
CCUACGGGAGGCUGCAGUGAGGAAUAUUGGUCAAUGGGAGGAAUCCUGAACCAGCCAUGCCGCGUGCAGGACGACGGCUCUACGAGUUGUAAACUGCUUUUGUACCGGGGUAAAAUGCUCUACGUGUAGGGUUUUGAAUGUACGGUACGAAUAAGGAUCGGCUAACUCCGUGCCAGCAGCCGCGGUAAUACGGAGGAUCCGAGCGUUAUCCGGAUUUAUUGGGUUUAAAGGGUGCGUAGGUUGUAUUAUAAGUUAGCGGUGAAAUGCCGGUGCUCAACAUCGGGACUGCCGCUGAUACUGUAGGACUAGAGGUCGGGUGCAGCAGGCGGAAUGUGUAGUGUAGCGGUGAAAUGCAUAGAUAUUACGCAGAACACCGAUUGCGAAGGCAGCUUGCUAGGCCGGAUCUGACACUGAUGCACGAAAGCGUGGGGAUCGAACAGGAUUAGAUACCCUAGUAGUC